rnacentral:lncRNA from 1 species
UUUUGGGAUCGCGGUGCCGAUAAAUCGGUCUUAUAAAUUAUUUUGAGUCGCCACCCAUUAUUUCGGCAAUGGGAUCGUUUCUAAUUUUAGUUUAUAAAAUGAAUCCAUUUAACCCAUUUUUAUUUGAGGCUAAUUAUUUGAAAAACUGGUCAGGCGUACCAAGUACGAUUCUAGGUAAGGGAAUUGGGUACGUCGGCCCAUUGGAAGC